UAUCAAACAAAAUCCAUAUUGGUAGAAAAAUUAUUUGCGUAAACACAUGAUUUUUUGAGCUUAAAAUUACCUUCCUUUUCUAAAAGUUCUUUUGUUUAGAAACCGGAACGGGCCCUAUGCUUGGUUUUUAUCAAGAUGGUUUGGUGGGAAAUGUGGAACCCCUUUGGGGAGAAAUGUGGAACCCCUUUGGGGAGAAAUGUGGAAAUUGGGUUGCGAAGCGAGCGGGUAUAGUUCUAGUAUUUUGAUGGCAGCGUAUUGUGAGGACGGGAAGAUGGGGGAGGCUUUGAAGUUGUGGGAAGAAAUGGGGAUUAAGGGUUUGAAGCCUGAUUAUGUGGCUUACAAGUUACAACACUAUGAUUGGUGGGUUUUGUAGAAUUGGAGAGGUUGGAAGGGCAGAAGAGUUUUUUAGAGAAAUUGGGUUGAGUGGUGUGGAAUGUUCUUGUGUUACUUUUGAGCAUUUUAUCAAUGGGUAUUGUCAGAUUGGAGAAGUGGAUUCAGCAAUGAUGUUGUAUAAGGAUAUGUGUAGGAAUGGUUUUAGGCCAGAGAGUUCGACAGUUGAUGCUGUUAUUAGAGGACUUGGUGGGGAGAAUAGGGUUUCUGAGGCUUUGGAGUUUCUGGAAGUUGCAAUCAGAAAACAUAAGCUUGCACCGAAAAGGAAAAGUUAUGAGGUUCUGAUAAAGCGGUUAUGUCAAGGGGGGAGGAUGGAAGAAGCAUUAAAGCUUCAAGCAGAGAUGGUAGGGAAAGGGUUUGAACCGAAUUGUGAGAUUUAUAGUUCUUUCAUUGAGUUGAAUGUGAAAGAAGGAAAUGAUGAACUAGCAGAAGUGUUGAAGAAGGAAAUGUUUGAAACUCAGAUGCUGAAGGAAGAGGAGUAACUGAUUGUUUUCCAAUCAUUGUGAGCUACCUUUACUUUCGGGUUCUAGUUGCCGCAGUUUCAAUUGGAUGAUUUUGUUCGAAAUUCUGAAAGAUGGUAUGGACAUAAACUGCUUGCAAUUUGGUGAGAAAUUCACUCUGAGCAGGCAUAUGACUGCCUUAAGUUGAAUUUCGCUCCUAUGGUGACAUUGGAGAAUAGCAGCCGAAUGGAGCAAUGAAAAUCAUUGACAGGAAAAACAAGAUUUUUAAGCUGUCUCAAGGGGAAUAUAUUGCAGUGGAAAACUUUGAAAACACAUACAUGCGAUGCCCUCUUGUGACAUCUAUUUGGGUCUAUGGUAACAGUUUUGAAUCUUUCUCGGUAGCCGUGGUGGUUCCUGACCGAAAGGCACUGGAGCAAUGAGCAGCUGACAAUAACCAAACAGGAGAUUUCAUACAGUUGCAUGAAAACCUGAAGGCAAGGAAAUACAUUCUAGACGAGCUCAAUAGCACCAGUCAGAAGAACAAAUUACGAAAAGAAACUCCUCACUUAUUCCUCUGUUGUGAAUUCUAAGCUUAAAUUUGGUUCCUUAUCUGAUCUAAAUGACGUUUACACAGCUGAGAGGCUUUGAAAUGUUGAGAAGGAUCUUGUAACUCCAACAUUUAAACUGAAGAGGCCGCAGUUGCUGAAAUAGUACAAGGACUGCAUUGAUGAACUCUACAAGGAAACUAAGCGAAGAAUGGAAUGAUUUAUUAGGAUGUGAUAUCCAGAUAUAGAGGCAACCAGCAUAUGCUUCAGAGAGUCUGAUUUCAGUACAAGAAAUCACAAAAACACAUGCUCCUCCAACAAGUUUGGAUGCCGUAUUCUAGUUCCUGGUUGUAUAUAAAUAUAUAGUAUCUGAAUGAAGUUUCCCCUAUCUGUAUGGCACUUACGAAUCAUAUCUUUUCAAGAAUUCAUAAUUGGCAUGAUACAUCCUCUAUUUAACAUCUUAUUUUCUCUCUUCUAAUUCUCUGUUAUAUAUAUGAUAUGAUCUUUCUAUUA